GACGAACGCUGGCGGCGUGCCUAAUACAUGCAAGUUGAGCGCUGAAGGUUGGUACUUGUACCAACUGGAUGAGCAGCGAACGGGUGAGUAACGCGUGGGGAAUCUGCCUUUGAGCGGGGGACAACAUUUGGAAACGAAUGCUAAUACCGCAUAAAAACUUUAAACACAAGUUUUAAGUUUGAAAGAUGCAAUUGCAUCACUCAAAGAUGAUCCCGCGUUGUAUUAGCUAGUUGGUGAGGUAAAGGCUCACCAAGGCGAUGAUACAUAGCCGACCUGAGAGGGGGGUCGGCCACGUUGGGACUGAGACACGGCCCAAACUCCUACGGGAGGCAGCAGUAGGGAAUCUUCGGCAAUGGACGAAAGUCUGACCGAGCAACGCCGCGUGAGUGAAGAAGGGUUUCGGAUCGUAAAACUCUGUUGGUAGAGAAGAACGUUGGUGAGAGUGGAAAGCUCAUCAAGUGACGGUAACUACCCAGAAAGGGACGGCUAACUACGUG
rnacentral:rRNA from 1 species